rnacentral:misc_RNA from 1 species
UACGGAGGGUGCAAGCGUUGUCCGGAAUUAUUGGGUGUAAAGGGUGUGUAGGCGGGACUGUUAGUCAGGGGUGAAAGCCUACGGCUUAACCGUAGAACGGCCUUUGAUACUGCAGUCCUUGAAUCCCGGAGAGGUCGCUGGAAUUCGUGGUGUAGCGGUGAAAUGCGUAGAUAUCACGAGGAACACCAGAGGUGUAGACGGGCGACUGGACGGCGAUUGACGCUGAGGCACGAAAGCGUGGGGAGCAAACAGG